rnacentral:rRNA from 1 species
UACGUAGGGGGCGAGCGUUGUCCGGAAUUAUUGGGCGUAAAGGGCUCGUAGGCGGUUUGUCGCGUCGGGAGUGAAAACCCAGGGCUUAACCCUGGGCUGGCUUCCGAUACGGGCAGACUAGAGGUAUGCAGGGGAGAACGGAAUUCCUGGUGUAGCGGUGAAAUGCGCAGAUAUCAGGAGGAACACCGGUGGCGAAGGCGGGUCUCUGGGCCGAUACUGACGCUGAGGAGCGAAAGCGUGGGGAGCGAACAGG